UGGGGAAUAUUGGACAAUGGGCGAAAGCCUGAUCCAGCCAUGCCGCGUGUGUGAAGAAGGUCUUCGGAUUGUAAAGCACUUUAAGUUGGGAGGAAGGGCAUUAACCUAAUACGUUAGUGUUUUGACGUUACCGACAGAAUAAGCACCGGCUAACUCUGUGCCAGCAGCCGCGGUAAUACAGAGGGUGCAAGCGUUAAUCGGAAUUACUGGGCGUAAAGCGCGCGUAGGUGGUUUGUUAAGUUGGAUGUGAAAUCCCCGGGCUCAACCUGGGAACUGCAUUCAAAACUGACUGACUAGAGUAUGGUAGAGGGUGGUGGAAUUUCCUGUGUAGCGGUGAAAUGCGUAGAUAUAGGAGGGAACACCAGUGGCGAAGGCGACCACCUGGACUAAUACUGACACUGAGGUGCGAAAGCGUGGGGAGCAAACA
rnacentral:rRNA from 1 species